UAAAGGACAUAUAUUCAUUAAUUGGAUCGGACUGGCUACCUCAUUAAUCUGAAAUCUAGCAAGAACCCUAAAACUGAGUUCUUACACACAAAAAUCAGUGGCCUGUAGAGAGGUUUAUUGUUAUACUACUAGAGAAAUGGCUUAUAUUGACGCUUUGAUUGCGACACAUAACAAAAAAACUGUCGGGAACGGAGAAAUGAGUAUACAACUUGAGGCUCUAUAUCAAAGCGUCGCCUAACUUAGCUCCUAAAAGGAAAGACGUGCAUAAAAAAGCCGUAAUGAAGUAUUUUUAACCUCCUCUAUUUCUCUGAAACCCUAAAUCACUACUCCAACCUCCCAGUCUCCCACGCACGUUCCAGUUCCGAUCUCUGAACAACUUCUGAUUCCAGCCCCUAAUUCUUCCGAUUGUCGAUUUCAAUACUCUUUCACUUUGAAUUUUGGUUAUAAUUUCGCUGGUAAUUUCUAUAGUUCGUGGAGUAAAAUUGCAAUUUUAAUACAGUUUCCAAUUUGAUUUGAUCUCGAAUUUCGCAGGUGGUUCUUCUUAUUAUCGACUUCUAUGUGGUACGCUUACACUUAGAAUUUUGGUUAUAAUUUUGCUAGUAAUUUCUAUGGUUUAUAGAGUAUCAAUUUCAAUUUUAAUUACAAGUUCCAAUUUAAAUUGAUCUCGAAUUUCGCUGGUAACUUCACUUCGAAUUUAUGUGGUAGUUUAUUGUUUCUCCAAUUUCUCUUUUGAUCUAAAUUUUGCAUUUUCAGCGACGAAUAUUCGAUGCCUGAUAAUUUUUUUUGUAGAGCUUCAUACUGGUAUUUCAAGAUCCCUUUGUUCAAUAAAUUCUUUUACUGUUUUAUAUACUUCAUGUGUUUCUAAUUUGUGCUUCAUCUGAAAAUUCGCUAUUAUGGUUAAUUAUUUAUGCUAAUCUAGUUGGUCUGUAAGGUUUAUAUUUACCUACAGUAGAGAGUAGAUUUAUGGUCAAUUCAAUUGUGAUUGUAUUUAUUUAAGUUGUGUUUUGAGCAACAUAGUCAUUGAUUUCUCUUUAUGAAGAAAAGUAACUUUAUAAUUUUAAUUUUAAUCAUUCAAAAGUAAGUGAUUAUUAUUUAGUAAGGCAAGUUUUCUGAAUGAUGGUGAUAUAAUUGGUAUUACGAGUCUUGAGCAAAGUAAUACUCCAUAGUCCGUAUGUUGGUUUGUUGAUUUCAUUUGCUUGUUUUUGGCUAUGAGUGCAGACCUUAUACACAAGAUAACAACUGUAUUUUCUAAAAUCUUCAACAACAAUACAAAUUAUGAGAUGGUUGUGGUGGAAAAUAUGAGGCUGCUUUCAAACACUUCAUGUCAGAUUAAUCUUCAAAUGUUCUCAAGUUGAAAAAUGCGCGCAGUAGAUUGAAGAGACCGCUGAAGAUUAUUUAUAUUUGUUGUAUAGUUAGAUUUUAGGAUGAAACUUGUUCCAGAUACAUUUGCUCAUCCAUUGUGACUUAUCUUGAAGGGUAUUUUAAAGUUACAUAAUACUCGUUUCUGUUUGGUUUGUGUAGAAGUCUAUAAAACUACAUCAUUACUUUUUACCAUUAAUAAAAUGGUCUUUCAAAUUCA